rnacentral:rRNA from 1 species
GGAUACGGCCAUACUCGGUUGAAUGCACCCGAUCUCGUUCGAUCUCGGAAGUUAAACAACCGCAGGCUAGGUUAGUACUUGGAUGGGUGACCGCCUGGGAAUACCUGGUGCAGUAUCCU